UAGUGAUAUAAAGUGCUUCUUAUUCAGCAG
rnacentral:piRNA from 1 species